UGGGUGGUUUUCCCCCGCGCCCCGUGGUUCAGUCCAAGAUGGCGGCCACCAUGAAGAAGGCGGCUGCAGAAGACGUCAAUGUUACUUUCGAAGAUCAGCAAAAAAUAAACAAAUUUGCUCGGAAUACGAGUCGAA